AUUGAACGCUGGCGGCAGGCCUAACACAUGCAAGUCGAGCGGAGCGGCGGACGGGUGAGUAAUGCCUAGGAAUCUGCCUGGUAGUGGGGGAUAACGUCCGAAAACGGGCGCUAAUACCGCAUACUAUCAGAUGAGCCUAUGUCGGAUUAGCUAGUUGGUGGGUUAAAGGCCUACCAAGGCGACGAUCCGUAACUGGUCUGAGAGGAUGAUCAGUCACACUGGAACUGAGACACGGUCAAGACUCCGACGGGAGGCAGCAGUGGGGAAGAUUGGACAAUGGGCGAAAGCCUGAUCAAGCAAUGCCGCGUGUGUGAAGAAGGUUUGCGGAUUGUAAAGCACUUUAAGUUGGGAGGCGGUACCAAAAGAGUAAGCACCGGCUAACUACGUGCCAGCAGCCGCGGUAAUAC
rnacentral:rRNA from 1 species